CUCCCUAACUCAAUUGUUAUCUUUGCUCAUACAAGUAUAAAUAUACACACCAUCAACAGCUGAACAAUUCAUAACUUCAUAUUUUUCAUAAGGACUGCUCUGUGAACUCAACAAGAUAAAACCAUGCCUGGAAAAGCAGACAAGAAGAAAUGCCCAGACCCAUGCCCAAAACCAAAGCCCCAGAAAUGCAAAGAUCCUUGCAAGACUACUCCAAAAUGCCCUAAACCUGCACCAAAAUGCAAAGAUCCCUGCAAGCCACAAGAUUGUACCCAAGACAAAAAAUGUGUCAAGAAGUGUUAAACAAGGACUAAAAUAACUACUCUGUUAUCUAUUUAUUUUAAGACAUCUGUCCAAGAUCUUGCUCAUAUCAAGUUAUGGUGUGUCUCAUAGUCCCUUGGAAUAGCAUAAAUUGUUCAGGCUUUAUCCAAUGAUAUCCAGAAUAAUAUCUGAAUAAAUGGAGCUAUAAACUCA